rnacentral:rRNA from 1 species
GACGAACGCUGGCGGCGUGCUUAACACAUGCAAGUCGAACGGAAAGGCCCUGCUUUUGUGGGGUGCUCGAGUGGCGAACGGGUGAGUAACACGUGAGUAACCUGCCCUUGACUUUGGGAUAACUUCAGGAAACUGGGGCUAAUACCGGAUAGGAGCUCCUGCUGCAUGGUGGGGGUUGGAAAGUUUCGGCGGUUGGGGAUGGACUCGCGGCUUAUCAGCUUGUUGGUGGGGUAGUGGCUUACCAAGGCUUUGACGGGUAGCCGGCCUGAGAGGGUGACCGGCCAAAUUGGGACUGAGAUACGGCCCAGACUCCUACGGGAGGCAGCAGUGGGGAAUAUUGCACAAUGGGCGGAAGCCUGAUGCAGCAACGCCGCGUGCGGGAUGACGGCCUUCGGGUUGUAAACCGCUUUCGCCUGUGACGAAGCGUGAGUGACGGUAAUGGGUAAAGAAGCACCGGCUAACUAAGUG